UCCAUGUGGCUUCUUGACUCUGCGUG
rnacentral:piRNA from 1 species